UACAGAGGUCUCAAGCGUUGUUCGGAUUCAUUGGGCGUAAAGGGUGCGUAGGCGGCGCGGUAAGUCGGGUGUGAAAUCUCGGAGCUUAACUCCGAAACUGCAUUCGAUACUGCCGUGCUUGAGGACUGGAGAGGAGACUGGAAUUCACGGUGUAGCAGUGAAAUGCGUAGAUAUCGUGGGGAAGACCAGUGGCGAAGGCGGGUCUCUGGACAGUUCCUGACACUGAGGCACGAAGGCCAGGGGAGCAAACGGG
rnacentral:rRNA from 1 species